GCCAGCGUGGGGUGCAGUGGUUUGAGUGUAGGACUAGGACUCCUUAGGAGACCAGGGUUCAAAUCUCUGCUCAGUCA